AAAGUGGCAGAAUGAGGGAAUGUUGAAGACUAGAGAGCAGGAGAGACAACCACCGCCUGAAAUGAGAAGGAAGGAAGCGUGAAGAAAAGACUGUUACACGGGGAAAAGUAAGCUGAUGGGCUGUGUGGCAUUUUCUU
ensembl:misc_RNA